rnacentral:rRNA from 1 species
UACAGAGGGGGCAAGCGUUAAUCGGAAUUACUGGGCGUAAAGCGUGCGCAGGCGGUUUGCUAAGACAGGUGUGAAAUCCCCGGGCUUAACCUGGGAACUGCGCUUGUAACUGGCAAGCUGGAGUGUGGCAGAGGGGGGUGGAAUUCCACGUGUAGCAGUGAAAUGCGUAGAGAUGUGGAGGAACACCGAUGGCGAAGGCAGCCCCCUGGGCUAACACUGACGCUCAUGCACGAAAGCGUGGGGAGCAAACAGG